rnacentral:rRNA from 1 species
UACGAACUGUGCAACCGUUAUUCGGAAUCACUGGGCUUAAAGGGUGCGUAGGCGGCUGUCUAAGUAGGGUGUGAAAGCCCCCGGCUCAACCGGGGAAUUGCGCCCUAAACUGGAUGGCUGGAGUGAGACAGGGGUGUGUGGAACUUCCGGUGGGGCGGUGAAAUGUGUUGAUAUCGGAAGGAACGCCGGUGGCGAAAGCGACACACUGGGUCUCAACUGACGCUGAGGCACGAAAGCCAGGGGAGCAAACGGG